rnacentral:rRNA from 1 species
AUCCGGAAUUAUUGGGCGUAAAGCGUCCGCAGGCGGCUUUUCAAGUCUGCUGUUAAAGCGUGGAGCUUAACUCCAUCAUGGCAGUGGAAACUGAAAGGCUUGAGUAUGGUAGGGGCAGAGGGAAUUCCCGGUGUAGCGGUGAAAUGCGUAGAUAUCGGGAAGAACACCAGUGGCGAAGGCGCUCUGCUGGGCCAUUACUGACGCUCAUGGACGAAAGCCAGGGGAGCGAAAGGGAUUAGAUACCCCUGUAGUCCUGGCCGUAAACGAUGAACACUAGGUGUCGGGGGAAUCGACCCCUUCGGUGUCGUAGCUAACGCGUUAAGUGUUCCGCCUGGGGAGUACGCACGCAAGUGUGAAACUCAAAGGAAUUGACGGGGGCCCGCACAAGCGGUGGAGUAUGUGGUUUAAUUCGAUGCAACGCGAAGAACCUUACCAGGGUUUGACAUCCUGCGAACCUCUUAGAAAUUUGAGGGUGCCUUCGGGAAUGCAGUGACAGGUGGUGCAUGGCUGUCGUCAGCUCGUGUCGUGAGAUGUUGGGUUAAGUCCCGCAACGAGCGCAACCCACGUUUUUAGUUGCCAGCAUUUAGUUGGGCACUCUAGAAAGACCGCCGGUGAUAAACCGGAGGAAGGUGUGGAUGACGUCAAGUCAUCAUGCCCCUUACACCCUGGGCUACACACGUACUACAAUGCUACGGACAAAGGGCAGCAAACUCGCGAGAGCUAGCAAAUCCCAUAAACCGUGGCUCAGUUCAGAUCGUAGGCUGCAACUCGCCUACGUGAAGUAGGAAUCGCUAGUAAUCGCAGGUCAGCAUACUGCGGUGAAUACGUUCCCGGGCCUUGUACACACCGCCCGUCACACCAUGGAAGUUGGCCAUGCCCGAAGUCGUUACUCCAACCCUUGUGGAGGAGGACGCCUAAGGUGGGGCUAAUGACUGGGGUGAAGUCGUAACAAGGUAACCGUA